GGUCCUGGUCGCCGAGGCGUAGGCCCCUCGGCCUUUCCUUCGUUUUGACGCGAGUCUCAAGCUCUAAUACCUGACUCACAAAAUGACCAUAGAAAUUAAAAAUAAGGACUAUGACUUGUUUUAUAACUAUGAAAGACAAAAUUGUGUUCUUUCCAUUACUGAACCCUUCCCAGCUAAACACGCACACACACUACCAUCCCCAAUCUCCGGGGAGCAUCCCACGGGGGGAAGCGUGGACUGUCUCUGAAAACAACAUUGUUUGCAGAUUCAAGCUUUUCACAGGAGAUGAAUCAGUUUAGGAAAGGUGAUUCCUGAAACAUGACCAACAACAAAGCUUUGGAGGAUGUAUAAUUGGAUAAUGGAGGAUGUGCAUGAGCAGAGGAGAUACACACAAUAUGCAUGUUCGCCACCGUUCCUGGAAGUGCCACUUGCAUGUGGAGUUCAGGAUGCCCUAUGAGCACAGACUUCUGAUGAACCUAUGAUGUGUGGAAGUUGAGCAUAACUCAAAGUACAAGAAUGUCUGGGGUCUCGUCUGGGAAGUCUGAGCUGCUAAGGAAGGACACAAAUGGCUGGUAGGUGGCAUGUUCUCUAAGCUCUUCGACACAAAUGUCUGGUACCUGGG